rnacentral:rRNA from 1 species
AACGCUGAUUAUGAGGUAGCAAUAUUUCAUAGUUGGAGUGGCGCAAGGGUGCGUAACACGUGGGUAAUUUGCCGUGAAGUUGGGGAUAACUCGCUGAAAGGCGAGCUAAUACCGGAUACGAUAGCUGGGAGGCAUCUUCUAGUUAUCAAAGUUGGGGACCGCAAGGCCUGACGCUUCACGAUAAGCCCGCGGCCUAUCAGCUAGUUGGUGAGGUAAAAGCUCACCAAGGCUAAGACGGGUAGCUGGUCUGAGAGGACGACCAGCCACACUGGAACUGAGACACGGUCCAGACACCUACGGGUGGCAGCAGUCGAGAAUUUUUCACAAUGGGGGAAACCCUGAUGGAGCGACGCCGCGUGGGGGAUGAAUGGCUUCGGCCCGUAAACCCCUGUCAUUUGCGAACAAACCUCAUGCAUGAACAAUGCAUACGUG